UCCGGUCUGUUCUAGACCUGGUUCAGUUGGUGACGGUGUCAGAUAUUCCCAGCUUCCUGCGCUCCAGCACAGAGUUUCACCUAGAACUAUCCUCCAAAUCACUGAGAGAUAAACGGCUCCUUGAUCAGUUCAGAUCACUGUCUGGAAAGGUAGGGGCACUGUUCUCUCUGUCCUGUACGGUCAGCUCCAUGGCUCUACCCCUGCCUCUCAGCUCAGCUCCCAGAAGUGGAAGGACUUCAUGGCUAAGAGACCCAAGACC